AGCAGCCGCGGUAAUUCCAGCUCCAAUAGCGUAUAUUAAAGUUGUUGCAGUUAAAAAGCUCGUAGUUGAAUUUCGGGGUUAGUAGGUUGGUCAUGCCUCUGGUAUGUACUGGUCUCACUGAUUCCUCCUUCCUGAUGAGCCGUAAUGCCAUUAAUUUGGUGUUGCGGGGAAUUUGGACUGUUACUUUGAAAAAAUUAGAGUGUUUAAAGCAAGCUAACGCUUGAAUACAUUAGCAUGGAAUAAUGAAAUAGGACGUUCGAUCCUAUUUUGUUGGUUUCUAGGAUUGACGUAAUGAUUAAUAGGGAUAGUUGGGGGCAUUAGUAUUCAAUUGUCAGAGGUGAAAUUCUUGGAUUUAUUGAAGACUAACUACUGCGAAAGCAUUUGCCAAGGAUGUUUUCAUUAAUCAAGAACGAAAGUUAGGGGAUCGAAGACGAUCAGAUACCGUCGUAGUCUUAACCAUAAACUAUGCCGAC
rnacentral:misc_RNA from 1 species